UUAAGCAUAUCAAUAAGCGGAGGAAAGAAACCAACAGGGAUUGCCUCAGUAACGGCGAGUGAAGCGGCAACAGCUCAAAUUUGAAAUCUGGCUCCUCGCGGGGUCCGAGUUGUAAUUUGUAGAGGAUGCUUCGGGUGUGGUACCGGUCUAAGUCCCUUGGAACAGGGCGUCAUAGAGGGUGAGGAUCCCGUAUGCGACCGGCGACCAAGCCCAUGUGAAGCUCCUUCGACGAGUCGAGCUGUUUGGGAAUGCAGCUCAAAACGGGUGGUAAAUUUCAUCUAAAGCUAAAUACCGGCCAGAGACCGAUAGCGCACAAGUAGAGUGAUCGAAAGAUGAAAAGCACUUUGGAAAGAGAGUCAAAAAGUACGUGAAAUUGUUGAAAGGGAAGCGCUUGUAACCAGACCUGCCGUCGGGUGUUCCGCGGGCAUUCGUUGCCCGUCUACUCACCCGCGAUCAGGCCAGCAUCGGUUCGGGCGGCCGGACAAAGACUUGAGGAAUGUAGCUUCGCUUCGGGGAAGUGUUAUAGCCUCUUGUGCAAUACGGCCAGCCGGGACCGAGGACCGCGCUUCGGCUAGGAUGCUGGCGUAAUGGUUGCAAGCGACCCGUCUUGAAACACGGACCAAGGAGUCUAACAUCUAUGCGAGUGUUUGGGUGUCAAACCCAUGCGCGGAAUGAAAGUGAACGGAGGUGGGAACCCUCAAGGGCGCACCAUCGACCGAUCCGGAAGUUUACGGAUGGAUUUGAGUAUGAGCAUAGCUGUUGGGACCCGAAAGGUACAGUCGAACCUCCCGAUACUCUGUCCUCGAGACCUAUGCUAACGUGCGUAACAGAUGGUGAACUAUGCCUGAAUAGGGUGAAGCCAGAGGAAACUCUGGUGGAGGCUCGCAGCGGUUCUGACGUGCAAAUCGAUCGUCAAAUUUGGGUAUAGGGGCGAAGUAAGCAUCCCCCUCUCCACCGAUAUCGCGGAACAAGUACUAACAGAUUUUUCACAGAGACUAAUCGAACCAUCUAGUAGCUGGUUCCUGCCGAAGUUUCCCUCAGGAUAGCAGUAACGUUUUCAGUUUUAUGAGGUAAAGCGAAUGAUUAGAGGCCUGGGGGAUGAAACAUCCUUCACCUAUUCUCAAACUUUCAAUAUGUAAGAAGUCCUUGUUACUUAGUUGAACGUGGACAUUUGAAUGUACCGUUACUAGUGGGCCAUUUUUGGUAAGCAGAACAGGCGAUGCGGGAUGAACCGAACGUGGGGUUAAGGUGCCGGAAUGUACGCUCAUCAGACACCAAGGGGAAGACUUGUGGUGUCUGGCCGGGGGGAAGAACCCCCGGCGUUAGUCUGCGAAAGGCGAGGUCUUUGACCUGUAGGGGCUGGCGGUCUCUCCGGCGACGGCCUACCCUCUGCUGACCCUGGGCCGGGGCAGCUCACAGAUCAAGCAAAGGCCGGCGGCCAAGCGCCGUUGGAGAUAUGAUCGGCCCCCGGAGGCUCACUCCGGGGAGCAAGUGCAAAAGGUGUUGAUUCAUCUAGACAGCCGGACGGUGGCCAUGGAAGUCGGAAUCCGCUAAGGAGUGUGUAGUUGUUGCACACCACAGUCAAGCGUACUAGCAUGCACCCGGGUGCAAGUGACAGCUCUUUGAUGCCCGAAGGCUCUCUCUUCACCCGAGAUUGCUACCGGCAGUGGGGUCACGUCGACCCCAUCUACAGACUACCCGGAGCUGACUGCGGGGCCCCCCUCUGGGGCUGCCGCAGGGAAGAUAUAGUCGUUGCGGGCCCCGGGAGGGGUCUUCGCGCAAGAACAACUCACCGGCCGAAUGAAUCAG
rnacentral:rRNA from 1 species